UACGUAGGGAGCAAGCGUUGUCCGGAAUCAUUGGGCGUAAAGCGCGCGUAGGUGGCUUCAUAAGUCCGUUGUGAAAGUCAAAGGCUCAACCUUUGAAAGCCGAUGGAUACUGUGGAGCUAGAGUACGGAAGAGGCGAGUGGAAUUCCUGGUGUAGCGGUGGAAUGCGCAGAUAUCAGGAGGAACACCAAUGGCGAAGGCAGCUCGCUGGGACGGUACUGACGCUGAGGCGCGAAAGCGUGGGGAGCAAACAGG
rnacentral:rRNA from 1 species